GAAGGAUCAUUACCGAGUGCGGGUCCUUCGGGGCCCAACCUCCCACCCGUGUCUACCGUACCGUGUUGCUUCGGCGGGCCCGCCGCAAGGCCGCCGGGGGGGCGUCCCCCCGGCCCGUGCCCGCCGGAGACCCUGUGAACGCUGAUCUGUGAAGGCGUGUCGUCUGAGUCGCGUGAGAAAUCGUGAAAACUUUCAACAACGGAUCUCUUGGUUCCGGCAUCGAUGAAGAACGCAGCGAAAUGCGAUAAGUAAUGUGAAUUGCAGAAUUCCGUGAAUCAUCGAACCUUUGAACGCACAUUGCGCCCUCUGGUAUUCCGGGGGGCAUGCCUGUCCGAGCGUCAUUGCGAACCCUCAAGCACGGCUUGUGUGUUGGGCCGCCGUCCCCUCGUUUGGAGGGGACGGGCCUGAAAGGCAGCGGCGGCGUCGCGUCCGGUCCUCGAGCGUAUGGGGCUCUGUCACCCGCUCUGCAGGCCCGGCCGGCGCCCGCCGAGUCAACCACUUCUUUCCAGGUUGACCUCGGAUCAGGUAGGGAUACCCGCUGAACUUA
rnacentral:rRNA from 1 species